GCUGACUCUCUCUCACACACACACACACGUGCACGCUGCACACCUCUAAGAAAAGUCUAGACCACAGCGAGAAGAGAAUCAACCUGACAGAGAGGCGGCUCUGAAAGCAAAGGGAUCGAUCCACAUAUACCACUUGCCUUUUGUCACAAAGCUGAAUAUUAUGGGUCGAGGAGAAAGUGAGAUAUGGGAUGAAAAGCCCAAAGACGUGGAUGAAAUGCCCCAAGAAGUUGUAGAUGUACAGCCGCAGAAAUCAGAAGUGCGAAAGGAAAAAAAUUCAGAGAAUGGCUGCAAGAAGUGCUGCCUGAAAACAAGGAACUGUCUGAUGAGCGGAGAGUGCGGCCGCUGUCUUCAGAUCUCCAGCGUGGUGGCGAUGUGCGCCAUGUGCAUCCGCAUGUGGACAUAAAGUAACCUUGGACACCGGGAAAGACUGUUUUGAUUCUCGUCCUUCUUCCAUCACCCCAUUCAAGACUUUGAAGCUUCAGUUUUCAUCUAUAGUGCUUUUUUAGCUGAUUCAUUAAAUGGUGUAUUUAUCCAUGCACAAGUUACUUCAAAUGAAUAACAUCUGGCAAGGACAUAACAGAACCACAAAUUUCAGUGAGGUUUAGUACAGCAAUAGGUGUUGGGUGACAGAACAAAUGUUUUAACAUUUGCAUGAAAUGCAGCUCUAAAAUAUUCAUAAUUACCAUAUUUUCCAGACAAUAAGUCGUGGCUUUUUUUUUUUUUUUUUAACUAGUUUUGGAGGUCCUACAACUUGAUGACAUGUAUGUGGAAAAAAAUACUGCAAUAUGCUCUAUGACACGUGAAGUUGCUCUUGUAGAUUGAAUCACUGUUAUUCACAGUCCAGAGCAGAAGGUGGCAGCACUAAAGUUCAUGCCCACCACCAUAAAGAAGGAAAAGGCACUGAAUAUGAAAAAUCAUUUGUUUAUAAUAUAAUAUAAUAUAUAAUAAUCAUGUUCUCAAACUGAAAGACCACACUCUUGAAUAUAAAUAUCGGAAUAUAACCUCCACAAUACUCCAUCACUUGUUUGGAUUGUGUGAGACAACAAUUUCAAUUUAUGAAUUUAUAUAGGCCAUCUCAUGACAGAGUAGCCCCAAGGCAACAGCAAGUCAAUUAGGCUCAGCUAUAGUAAGGGCAUUUUACAAGUGUUUCACAAAACAGUUUUUAAAUGUUUAAUUACACUCCAUGCUCCUCACCAUUGAUCAUUUGUUCAGUGGCAACAAGAAGCAGUUUAUUAAAGUUUUUAUACUUCAUACAGUAACAUUAUUUAGCCCAGUAGCAUCCGCUUGCUAAUGCAGUGAUUGCAUCAUACAAUGUGCCUAGUUUACAAACCUUUAAUUACAUUGCACAUUUACAUCAUUUAUAAUAAUUUGUUCAGUGGCAACAAGAAGCCAUUUACUCAGUUCUCUUUGCCCCGUACAGUAACAUUAAUUAGCCCAUUAGCUUCUGGCUACUGAUGAGGCAUUUGCAUUCUAAAUAAGUAAUGCACCAAUUCAAUUCAUUGUGUGUCUUGUUGCAUGAAGCGGGAGUACCAUGUUUCAAAAAUAAAUAUGCCUUAAACACCAGUGUGACUUGUAUAUGGAUUUAGACAUAUGCAACUAACACUCCAGUGUGACUUAUAGUCCGGAAAACAUAGUAAUUUCUUUUUUUUAAAUAAUGUUGCCCAUUGACUUCCAUAUUAUUUGUACUUUGUCAAAACUGCACCACUGCUUGCACUUUAACUUGUCAAGCAGGGUUGGGUGGGAUUACUUUGAAAUGUAAUCCAAAAGUAAUCAGAUUACAAGUAAUCCAAAUGUAUGUACAUACAUACAUGUAAUCCACAUGUAUUCUUUCAAAGUAAUCCUACCCAACCUUGUUGUCAAGGACAAAUAAACAGGACUGUUGGGUCUUGGUGGAGGUAUGGGGUUCCUGAGCACCCUCUUGCUUACACUUUCUGUGAAACUACAGAGUCAGUUCGUAUAAAAGUACAUUUCUGAUUAGCAGCCUCUCAAUUGGAUUUUUUUUUUUACAGAGCAGAGAAUACAAGAUUUAUCUUCUUUCUGUUGCUUUUUGUUCAUGUAAAAUUAUUAUGUAAGUAGGGAAUGAAUGAAUGAAAUGACAAAUGAGUGAAAUAAACAAAUGAAGGAAGUGUGUAUUUUUGGUCAAAGAAAUGUAACCAGUUGUACUUGAGACUCAGUAAGAUGUUUUUAAUAUUACAUAAUAAAAAUGUGAAAUAGAAUGUG